GGUAUAGUUUAGGGGCUUUAGAAUGAUACUUUUGUAAAGUAUUGGGGCAUUGUUGGGUUGCCU
rnacentral:tRNA from 1 species